AACAGGAUUAGAUACCCUGGUAGUCCACGCCGUAAACGAUGUCGACUAGCCGUUGGGCUCCUUGAGAGCUUUGUGGCGCAGUUAACGCGAUAAGUCGACCGCCUGGGGAGUACGGCCGCAAGGUUAAAACUCAAAUGAAUUGACGGGGGCCCGCACAAGCGGUGGAGCAUGUGGUUUAAUUCGAUGCAACGCGAAGAACCUUACCUACCCUUGACAUCGUGCGAACUUUCCAGAGAUGGAUUGGUGCCUUCGGGAACGCACAGACAGGUGCUGCAUGGCUGUCGUCAGCUCGUGUUGUGAAAUGUUGGGUUAAGUCCCGUAACGAGCGCAACCCUUGUCCUUAUUUGCCAGCGAGUCAUGUCGGGAACUCUAAGGAGACUGCCGGUGACAAACCGGAGGAAGGUGGGGACGACGUCAAGUCAUCAUGGCCCUUACGGGUAGGGCUACACACGUGCUACAAUGGCCGGUACAAAGGGUUGCGAAGCCGCGAGGUGGAGCUAAUCCCGAAAAGCUGGUCUCAGUCCGGAUCGGAGUCUGCAACUCAACUCCGUGAAGUCGGAAUCGCUAGUAAUCGUGAAUCAGAAUGUCACGGUGAAUACGUUCCCGGGCCUUGUACACACCGCCCGUCACACCAUGGGAGUGGACUGCACCAGAAGUGGUUAGCCUAACUUCGGAGGGCGAUCACCACGGUGUGGUUCAUGACUGGGGUGAAGUCGUAACAAGGUAACC
rnacentral:rRNA from 1 species